GCUGGUGACCAUGGAGGAGCUGUCAUACCCGUUCCCAUUCCGAACACGGAAGUCAAGGGCUCCAUCGCCGAGGGUAGUGCGUCUCCCGGACGUGCGAGAGUAGGACGUCGCCAGCU
rnacentral:rRNA from 2 species